rnacentral:tRNA from 1 species
UCCUGGGUGGCUGAAACAGCUAAGCACUUGGCUACUAACCAUAAAGGUUGGUGGUUCGAUUCCACCCAGAGGUG